GAGAGAGAGAGAGAGAGAAAUAGAGAGAGAGAGAGAGAGAAAUGGAGAGAGAAAUAUUUUAUUAUCCACUCUUAGUCACCAGUUAUCCUCACCUCUGGAUACCACUAGAGAGAGAGAGAGAGAGAGAGAGAGAGAGAGAGAGAGAGAGAGAGAGAGAGAGAGAGAGAGAGAGAGAGAUCAUGUAUCCCUCCAGAACGGUCAUAACACACCUGGCCGGUAUUCCAUUUGAUUAGUAAUUGUAUCAGUGUGCCCUUUGUUCACCAUUGUCCUGUCGAUUAUUGUUCCCAUGUCCAUUGGCCAUUGUUCUGCUCUGUUGUUCUGGCCUUCGUGCCGCGUGUAUUGCGCAGAUGAUUAUGGGUCUCGUCCCGUGUGGAAUCAUUUUGUGCUUGUGUUUGGUACACUGUGUCCUAUGAUAAAUAUACUGUAUGUGGGUACACUGUGUCCUAUGAUAAAUAUACUGUAUGUGGGUACACUGUGUCCUAUGAUAAAUAUACUGUAUGUGGGUACACUGUCCUAUGAUAAAUAUACUGUAUGUGGGUACACUGUGUCCUAUGAUAAAUAUACUGUAUGUGGGUACACUGUGUCCUAUGAUAAAUAUACUGUAUGUGGGUACACUGUGUCCUAUGAUAAAUAUACUGUAUGUAGGUACACUGUGUCCUAUGAUAAAUAUACUGUAUGUGGGUACACUGUGUCCUAUGAUAAAUAUACUGUAUGUAGGUACACUGUGUCCUAUGAUAAAUAUACUGUAUGUAGGUACACUGUGUCCUAUGAUAAAUAUACUGUAUGUAGGUACACUGUGUCCUAUGAUAAAUAUACUGUAUGUGGGUACACUGUGUCCUAUGAUAAAUAUACUGUAUGUGGGUACACUGUGUCCUAUGAUAAAUAUACUGUAUGUGGGUACACACACACACAUAAACACACUUGAGCAUACAGAUAUAAACUCAACACAAAGGGGAAGCAUCAUUCCAUCAUGUUGUGACCCAUAGCAACACUCUGUGAUAAUCUAGUAUCUGCAUAGAACAACAUUUGCGGUAGAGGGACCCGGUCGUCAUGGCGACAACAGUAAAACAGCAAGGAGAAACAGAAAACGCAAAAAUACUUUUGGCAUUGGAUAGAGAAGAGAGUGAAGGGGCAACAGAAUUAACAUGAGUGGAUUGUUUAGUGUGGGCUGGCUAUUGGGAAAAUCCUUACAAACAAGACUA